rnacentral:rRNA from 1 species
GAUGAACGCUAGCGGCAGGCUUAACACAUGCAAGUCGAGGGGCAGCACGUCUUCGGAUGGUGGCGACCGGCGCACGGGUGCGUAACGCGUAUACAACCUACCUUAUAGAGGGGAAUAGCCCAGAGAAAUUUGGAUUAAUGCCCCAUAGUAUUAUUGAAUAGCAUUAUUUGAUGAUUAGACAUUUAUGGCUAUAAGAUGGGUAUGCGUUCUAUUAGCUAGAUGGUAAGGUAACGGCUUACCAUGGCAACGAUAGAUAGGGGUCCUGAGAGGGAGAUCCCCCACACUGGUACUGAGACACGGACCAGACUCCUACGGGAGGCAGCAGUGAGGAAUACUGGACAAUGGGCGAGAGCCUGAUCCAGCCAUGCCGCGUGCAGGAAGACGGCCCUAUGGGUUGUAAACUGCUUUUAUACGGGAAGAACACUCCUUCGUGAAGGAGCUUGACGGUACCGUAAGAAUAAGGAUCGGCUAACUCCGUGCCAGCAGCCG